rnacentral:tRNA from 2 species
GUGCCCGUAGCUCAACCGGAUAGAGCACCAGCCUUCUAAGCUGGGGGUUAGGGGUUCGAUUCCCUUCGGGCACGCCA